rnacentral:rRNA from 1 species
CAGUCGCCGCGGUAAUACGGAGGGUGCAAGCGUUAAUCGGAAUUACUGGGCGUAAAGCGCACGCAGGCGGUCUGUCAAGUCAGAUGUGAAAUCCCCGGGCUUAACCUGGGAACUGCAUUUGAAACUGGCAGGCUAGAGUCUUGUAGAGGGGGGUAGAAUUCCAGGUGUAGCGGUGAAAUGCGUAGAGAUCUGGAGGAAUACCGGUGGCGAAGGCGGCCCCCUGGACAAAGACUGACGCUCAGGUGCGAAAGCGUGGGGAGCAAACAGGAUUAGAUACCCGGGUAGUCCCUGUCUCUUAUAC